UCUCAAAUAGUUUAAAAAGAACAAAAUUUUGAAGAAAUUUAAGUAGAACUUCUUUUGGGAU
rnacentral:tRNA from 1 species